CUCUGCAAACAGGUCAGUGGGAAUAAAAUAAGCUCCUGACCAACUGCAUAUAGUUUUCCAGAGUUUUUACAUCUGCAGAUGAAACACGGCUGAAUGGUAAUUAUGGAACCUACUGCAUCCGGAACAAAGCACAAUCGUGUGUUUCAUCAAAGGUGAACCUCCACUACAGGCCCAAGUCUUUUUGAGUAUCUAACAGGCUUUCUUCCAGAAUCUCCCUGUAUUGAGCACCAUACCUCGACCCAUCAACUCUGACCAGUUUUUCUGUCCCUGCUGAAGAAAGGGAUCUUCACAGCAUGAUGCUGUGGGGAUGUACAAGUGGUCCCUGUCCAGCGAAAGUCCUGCAAAGUUUCAGAGAUGUCCUGGCGAGACAUCAACAGUCUCACACGUGCAAAAACAUAAAGCCCCAAGAGAGGAAGCAAUGAGAAAAUUGACCUUCAACCUUCCAUUUCAUCAGCACUCAGCCACACACAGGGCCACAUACUAGGCCCAAUGUUAUUAACACAUUGCUGUUAUCCCAGAUGUAAACAAGCCUAUAGCAUGCAUUGAUCACAAACUGAAAACCAUCAGAACAAACACUUUUUAAAGAGCAAAAUGAAUCUGAUGAGAUGCCUUUUUUUUUUUAAAGCAGAACAGGUUGUCUUUUCAUUACUUCAGUGUUUUAACUGGUGGAUUCAAAAAUCUGAAAGAGAGAUUAGCGUUAGGGCUCAUCCACCCAACCUGUAAAAUGAGAUGCUUUACUUUGCUGCUGACGUAGGUUGGUCUUGCAGAGACUGCUGCUUUGUUUUCACAAAGGUGAUUAUCAGCAUGAAAUGUGUGUUAUUUUGGACAGACCAGCCUCAAAAUUGUCCUGCGCACCCUCAAGGUUGGGUAUUUGCUUUGAGACAGACUGAGUGAAGAGACAUUAAGGGAUAAAAUUAUUCAACUUUGGCUAUUAAAUAACCUAAUUAAAUAUCUUCUAUAACUGAA